GCCUGGCUGGCUCAGUUGUUAGAGCAUGAGACUCUUGAUCUCAGAAUCAUGGUUUUGAGCCCCACAUUGGGCA
rnacentral:tRNA from 1 species